rnacentral:lncRNA from 1 species
UUCCUCAAGGGCAGAUGGUCCCAUCCGUGGGCCUCCACACGGCCACGGUGCAGAUCUGCUCCUGCCCACUCGGGCUGGGUUGUAAUAACUGCAGGGUAGACGGGGAUCAUCCAGGUCUUGUCAGAGGACCAAGGGCCAGGGGGCGGUCAUCCCCCACAAAAGACGAGUCCGGCAGCCAUAGAUGGAAGAAAGGUCCCCUGAUCCCAAACCAGGACAUAACCCGCCUCCCGAGAGGAGGAGAUGCUCCCGGCCAGACAGCCAACGCCACUAUUUCAGGGGAUUUUCCGAGUGUGCCCAGAACGGACCCCAUGCUGUGAAACAGCACACUGUGAACUCAAAAUUUCGCUCGCAGACAACUAGAGGCAGCCUUCAGAAUGGCACCAGGGCUCCCCUCUGCUUUUGGCAGUCUGCGCCUGGGUGUGGGGCGGGGUUGAGGGCUGCGGCUCCAGCCAUUCUGUCGUUGGAGGGGAGCACGUGUUGUGGGAGCCCACCUUGGCCCCGGGCCCCGUCUCUGCGUCCCGAGGACUCUGUCCCUCAAGCGUUUCCACCCCUGAAGCCUGCCGCGCGCCUCCCAGAGCAGUUCUACGUUGGCAAAAUCACCAGGGGUCACGUCACGGCAUUUGCACUGGUUUUGAAAAAUGGAUUGAACACCUGCCUUUUGGCUAAUACGAUAAUGGGGACAUAAUACUGAAAAGUGGUCUUCAUGAACAACGUGGACGGCAGUCAGGGCUGUGGGGGCCCAGUAGGGUGCAGCCCAGCAUCCACCUGGAAAGUCAGGACCAAGAUUGGCCAGGAGCGGGCCUCGGGUGACUCCCUGCUCUUCCUGGUCUAAGAUUCUGGACUCACCGGGCUCUGCAGUGUGAACCUUUGCAGAGGAAUUAGAACUAGAAGCCUAUCUUCGGCCGGUUUUGAGCAGAAGCAGAAACCAGAGGGCUUGAGGGAAAGGCCCAGGGCCAGGGUGGGGAGGGCAGGACUCACCUGCCUGCCACGCUCCCCGGGGGGAACCGCGUCCUCUCACCUGUGGGGCUGCCUGUCAGUCACUCCUCCUCCGGCUCAGCAGCCUAACUUCCUCUGCUGCCUCCAUGGCCCCCUGGCCUGGCUGGAAUCCCAGGUGAGGUCAGAAGCUGCUGCCACAAUUCUGAUUCAGAUGAGACUCAAGUCAAGUUGGGGUGCGGGGGCUUUGCAGCCAGGACAGAGGACAGGUCCUGGGGGUGGGGUGGGGGUGUGGGGUGUGUGUGAAGUGUGUGUAACCGUGGGGGAGGGGGUGGCUUUGCAGCCAGGAGGGGAGGAAGGGCCUGGGGUGGCUCCUUGGCCAGUCACAAGGCAGUGAAACUGGAAACGACCUGAAGGCCACUCUUCCCCGGGAGGCUGGGCAUCCCGGCAGCCUGGGGCAGCUUCCUCCACUGGAGGCGGUCCUGGAGGAUCCACAGGAAGAUCCCUGCACCCCAUGCCAUAGCACUCAACACUGGCACCUCCGUCACCCCAGCCCGAGAACCUCUGCUGAGCACUGCUGUCCAGCGCAGCGGGGGUGCCUGCGAGCUCACUCCUGGAGGUGAGAGGGCAGCAGGUGCCCCGAGAAGGACGGAGACAGUGGAAGAGGGUCUGAGGUCUGCGAUUUCACAUGGGAAGCCUGGGGUCCAGGCCGUCCGCAGGAAGACCGACCGAUCGCCUCCAGCUGGAAUGGGGUUACACCCCGCCCCCACCCCCACCCCCACCCCAAAGCGGCCCAACUGCGCACGGCGCCCAGUGCCCGGCCCCGACCCCACCGAGGCGCUCACCGCACGCUCCCGCCGUCCCCCAGCUCUCGCAAGGCGCCCCCACUCCCCGCCCCCCUGCACUCGCUCCGUGGGGUCCCAACCCCGCAACCCCGGCCCCCAACGCGGACCCACAGCAGAGGCUUGCACCCGACUGGCCCCCCAGGGAGGCCGGUCCGCGCGCCCCUCCGUCUCCCAGCGCCCGGGGGCCGGAGGGGCCGCCCCCGCCCGCGGAGCCGUGUGGCCCCGGGGCCCGCGCCGACCCGCCUUGUAAGGCAGAGGCCGAGCGAGGCCGGCCUCGGUGCGUCCGGCGGCCGGGGGCAGGGCCGGGCGGGGCGGCCGGAGCGCGCGGGGCG